AGAGUUUGAUCCUGGCUCAGGACGAACGCUGGCGGCGCGCCUAACACAUGCAAGUCGAACGGAGCUUAGAGAGCUUGCUUUUUAAGCUUAGUGGCGAACGGGUGAGUAACGCGUGAGUAACCUGCCCUAGAGUGGGGGACAACAGUUGGAAACGACUGCUAAUACCGCAUAAGCCCACGGUACCGCAUGGUACUGAGGGAAAAGGAUUUAUUCGCUUUAGGAUGGACUCGCGUCCAAUUAGCUAGUUGGUGAGGUAACGGCCCACCAAGGCGACGAUUGGUAGCCGGACUGAGAGGUUGAACGGCCACAUUGGGACUGAGACACGGCCCAGACUCCUACGGGAGGCAGCAGUGGGGAAUAUUGCACAAUGGGGGAAACCCUGAUGCAGCGACGCCGCGUGGAGGAAGAAGGUCUUCGGAUUGUAAACUCCUGUUGUUGAGGAAGAUAAUGACGGUACUCAACAAGGAAGUGACGGCUAACUACGUGCCAGCAGCCGCGGUAAAACGUAGGUCACAAGCGUUGUCCGGAAUUACUGGGUGUAAAGGGAGCGCAGGCGGGAAGACAAGUUGGAAGUGAAAUCCAUGGGCUCAACCCAUGAACUGCUUUCAAAACUGUUUUUCUUGAGUAGUGCAGAGGUAGGCGGAAUUCCCGGUGUAGCGGUGGAAUGCGUAGAUAUCGGGAGGAACACCAGUGGCGAAGGCGGUCUACUGGGCACCAACUGACGCUGAGGCUCGAAAGCAUGGGUAGCAAACAGGAUUAGAUACCCUGGUAGUCCAUGCCGUAAACGAUGAUUACUAGGUGUUGGGGGAUUGACCCCCUCAGUGCCGCAGUUAACACAAUAAGUAAUCCACCUGGGGAGUACGACCGCAAGGUUG
rnacentral:rRNA from 1 species